AACGACUCCUCUCUGCCUCUCUUCCUAACAAGUGGUGGGGGUUUUCUCCCAUUUACGAGCCCAUUGCAUUUUUCCUCUCCUCCCCUCUACUCAACUAUUUUGCUUGAAGUGUCGUGAGCAGGUGCAACAUGUAAACUCAUGAAGGGAGGCAUACACUAGCAGUUGUGAGACUCCUCCCAAGGGGUGAGUGCAGGAAGACACCAGGAGGGAGGCGGAGCCUCUGGAGAUCUUUCUGGAACCCAAACCACCCUAACUGGAGCCAGAAGGUCUGUCAAUUCCCAGAGAGCAGCAAGGAAAUGGUAAGUAAAUGGCAGCAGUUGCCUAGAGAAUUAGGGAAUGAAUAACAAUGCUUUCUGGUAAAUUAACCAUAUUACAUUGUGCACAGCAAAGUGAUGGAAGAACCCAGUUAAAAAUUGAAUAAUAAUUUUCCCACAUCAUUUAUGUAAAAUGCAUAAUUUUCCUACUUCAGUGGACUUUGGUUUGAUUUAAAAUAUGAACCGCUCUAGUACUGUUCACCAAAGCAUAAUUUGUGAGAUAAUUGGGAAGGGGAGGAGAAAUCAGGCUGUAAUCAGCACAAUCCUGUGUGAGCCACUUCACCUCCCUCCCGUCCCCUGCAAAUUUCGGAAAUUGUUUGUCGAUAGGUUGAAGGUCUCUAUGUGAAAGUGUGAGGCAUCAAUCAUUGUCGUUGCUAUCACUAAACCAUGACCUCACCGUGUGCAAGAGGGGAAAGCAAGGCUUCCCUCUAGUCAGUCUUUUUCUGCUCUAAUUCAAAUAAGUACUUGUUUUUGAAUAGUAGGGAAAAUGGAAAUGUUGCCAUGCUUAAAACAGCAAGCCGAGAACAAAAGAAACGUGCAAGCAGCGGAAGGAGACCUUGGAAGAUGCGUAGAUAGAACAAAAAACUGCGCUUGGCCAGGAUUCUGUUUCAGAAUCAAAUGCAAAAUGAAGAACGUUGUUCCAACUAUAACGAUUUUGCCACCUACGAUCUCUGAAAUGAAAAGUCGUCAUGGAAUCCACGUUGACAUUCAAAAGCUGUGCUCUUGCGAUGAGUGAUGGUGUUUGUCCGUGACUGAUGUAGGCUUCAGAACCAGAGCUGUCGGCGGUGGGGUGGAAUUCCACAGGUGAACCAGCCACCCUUCACUUCGACGCUGCCCUCCCGGGUCAGUCACUGUUGCUUUUCCUCGCUCUCCUCCUUCCCCCAUCCUUCACCCCUGCUCCCCACCCCCACGAGAACUAUAGAGUUUUCAUUAGAUAUUCAGUCAUUCUCUUCAUCCUCGUCUCUCCACAAAGGGCCAUUAUUUACUUACUAAAGUUAGCCCUUAGAUUUUUGACCUUUCAGGGCAAAUCUGUGGCUGAUUCUGUCUGCUUCUCUUUGUUGUCCUAAUCCUGCCUCCUCUGUAACCCUGCUGGCCCCACGAGGCUGAACCUUGAACCCCAUAAAUCUCCAUACUUCUCUCUCGGGUGCCCAUUUUGGUUGGCCAAAGGGGCCUUCCCAAGUCUUAAUACUCUUCCCCACUCUUUCCUUCUCUCCCUCCUACCCCUGCCACUAGCCUAAGAUUUAUCUGACACUAGGUUUUUCCCUAUGCCUCCUGCCACUAGCUAGAAAUUGCCUUUUUGCAAAUUGGAAAAAGCUAUCCUACCUCAAGACACUUUGCUGCCAUCAGCCAGAAAAUUAUUGUAAUAGAUAUGCCAAGAGAUGAUGUGAAUGGUGCCCCCUAGAAUUGUGCAGUACACAACUGGCACCGCGGUAUGAGACAACGCUGUAGUUGGAAACCACCUGAGUUACCUUGGAAGUCUGUAAAACUCAGAGCCACGGUAGGUCAGUCUUGCCUUUUUAUGACAGUUUGCAAUUUCAAAAUCUAAACCUUUCAGCCUUGAUCACAAAUUGCUGAGGGGCAGUUUCUGGAAGAGACAAAGAGCCCCUAGGCAGCAGUACUUAUAAGAGUAAAGGGCUCUUUAGUCAGCCCUAGAUUUGGCCUGCUGGCUGAGCAGAUGCAGCCCAAACCACACUGGGUAGAAUAGUAGGGGAAAUGGAAAUGUAGCAGAGCACCAUUAGAAUCUCGUAAGUCUGAGUGUUGGGGGUACCGGGGAGCAGGGUACUUGUAUUAGGUCAACCAUGACCCCUCCUCGGCCUUGGCUGCUUCGUUUCUUGUUGCUUGCCCCAUCUGUUCCCCUCCCCCCACCCCCUUCACAUUCCGCACAACCUGCACGUUCUGGUGAUCUUUUGCUGCAAAACAAGCCACCCCAAAAUUUAUUAGUGGAAACAGAAACAGACGUUUAUUUUGCUCACAAGUCUGCGAUUUGGGCAUGGCUCCCAGGGGCCUCUCUGCUCCCCACGGUGUCACCAGGGCAACUCAGAUGUGGCUGGAGGAGCCGCUUUUACCAUGGGGGCUCACAUGGCUGGUCAGUAGAUGCUGGCUGCUGCCCAGGAGCUCAGCUGGGGCUUGGGUUCCUCUGCACCUGGGCUCCCAGGUGGCCGUGUGGGCUUGCUCACAUGGCGGAGCCCAUGUCAAGCCACCAAGUGAACAACCCCAGCUGACUCUUCACGGAGCAGAGGAAAGCUGCCCCUACCAAGCCCUGCCCACUUUUCAAAUUUCUGAGUGAAAUAAAUGUCUAUGGUUUUAAGCCACUAAGUUUGGGAUGGUUCAUUUUGCAGCCAUGGAUCACCAGAAUGUAUAGGCUGGGCUGAAUGUGGUGUGAAUCCGUUCCCACAUUUCUCUAGGAUGCCUCCUGAUGCUGCAGAGUUGAGGAAGCUAAAAACUACAUUUCCCAGACUCCCUUCCCAUUAGGAUCAUGAGGAUCAAUUACGCUAUUACCAAUUAGACUUAUUUGCACAAAGUUCAGAAGGCAGAAGUGAGGUGGAAGCCAGUUUCUUACAGCUUUUGACUGUUUUCUGCUGGAAAGCAAGAUCAUGGAGCCACUGAUGCCCAGUCUCCAGCUUCAUGAGUGUCAAGAGUCUGUUGUGGAGGUGGCAGUGGCUAGACACCACCUCCCAACAAGCAGGCAGACACGGUGGCGGCAGCAGUGGCAUGCUCUUCUAGGCUUUCUGACCUCUUUCUGACCAUUGUAUUGCAGCCACGGUGUUCUUAAGGGCAACAGUUCCCGUGGCAGCUUCUCAAGUCCCACCUUCCUGAUUGUGGCAGAGGUGGCAGCUCUCCUGGCUGAUUGAUUCUGCCACAUUCUGAGAGUCAUCCCCGGAGGACCAGCGUAAAGCCCUCUCUCCCAGCUCUUCCACCAAGUCUGUAAUUCCCCAUAUUAAACCUUUUUUUGCUUAAAAAACCUAGUAUGGUUUCUGUUUCCUACAUUGAACCUUGCAGCUGAUACUCGAUGAUCCCCUAAGUUCUGUCC
rnacentral:lncRNA from 1 species